rnacentral:rRNA from 1 species
GAGUUUGAUCGUGGCUCAGAUUGAACGCUGGCGGCAUGCCUUACACAUGCAAGUCGAACGGCAGCACGGGAGCUUGCUCCUGAUGGCGAGUGGCGAACGGGUGAGUAAUGCAUCGGAACGUAUCCUGGAGUGGGGGAUAACGUAGCGAAAGUUACGCUAAUACCGCAUAUUCUGUGAGCAGGAAAGCGGGGGACCUUCGGGCCUCGCGCUCUUGGAGCGGCCGAUGUCGGAUUAGCUAGUUGGUGAGGUAAAGGCUCACCAAGGCGACGAUCCGUAGCAGGUCUGAGAGGAUGAUCUGCCACACUGGAACUGAGACACGGUCCAGACUCCUACGGGAGGCAGCAGUGGGGAAUUUUGGACAAUGGGGGCAACCCUGAUCCAGCCAUGCCGCGUGAGUGAAGAAGGCCUCGG